rnacentral:rRNA from 1 species
CCUACGGGUGGCUGCAGUGGGGAAUAUUGGACAAUGGGGGCAACCCUGAUCCAGCCAUGCCGCGUGUGUGAAGAAGGCCCUCGGGUUGUAAAGCACUUUCAGUGAGGAAGAACGCCUGGUGGUUAAUACCCAUCAGGAAAGACAUCACUCACAGAAGAAGCACCGGCUAACUCCGUGCCAGCAGCCGCGGUAAUACGGAGGGUGCGAGCGUUAAUCGGAAUUACUGGGCGUAAAGCGCGCGUAGGUGGCUUGAUAAGCCGGUUGUGAAAGCCCCGGGCUCAACCUGGGAACGGCAUCCGGAACUGUCAAGCUAGAGUGCAGGAGAGGAAGGUAGAAUUCCCGGUGUAGCGGUGAAAUGCGUAGAGAUCGGGAGGAAUACCAGUGGCGAAGGCGGCCUUCUGGAUUGACACUGACACUGAGGUGCGAAAGCGUGGGUAGCAAACAGGAUUAGAUACCCGAGUAGUC